UCUGGUUGAUCCUGGCAGAGGUUACUGCUAUCGAGGUUCGACUAAGCCAUGCGAGUCGAAUGUAGCAAUACAUGGCGAACUGCUCAGUAACACGUGGACAACCUACCCUUAGGCCUGGGAUAACCCCGGGAAACUGGGAAUAAUACCGGAUAUGGCGCGAAUGCUGGAAUGCGUCGCGCCAGAAAGCUCCGGCGCCUAAGGAUGGGUCUGCGGCCUAUCAGGGUAGUAGUGGGUGUAACGGACCUACUAGCCUACGACGAGUACGGGUUGUGAGAGCAAGAGCCCGGAGAUGGAUUCUGAGACACGAAUCCAGGCCCUACGGGGUGCAGCAGGCGCGAAAACUUUACAAUGCUGGCAACAGCGAUAAGGGGACCUCGAGUGCCAGGAUACAAUCCUGGCUGUCGUGAUGCCUAAAAAGUAUUGCAUAGCAAGGGCCGGGCAAGACCGGUGCCAGCCGCCGCGGUAACACCGGCGGCUCGAGUGGUAACCGCUAUUAUUGGGUCUAAAGGGUCUGUAGCCGGCUGGAUUAGUCUCUUGGGAAAUCCAGCAGCUCAACUGUUGGGCUUUCAGGAGAUACUGUCUGGCUCGAGGCCGGGAGAGGUGAGAGGUACUUCAGGGGUAGGGGUGAAAUCUUGUAAUCCUUGAAGGACCACCAGUGGCGAAGGCGUCUCACCAGAACGGACCUGACGGCAAGGGACGAAAGCUAGGGGCACGAACCGGAUUAGAUACCCGGGUAGUCCUAGCCGUAAACGAUACUCGCUAGGUGUCGGCCACGGUGCGACCGUUGUCGGUGCCGUAGGGAAGCCGUGAAGCGAGCCACCUGGGAAGUACGGCCGCAAGGCUGAAACUUAAAGGAAUUGGCGGGGGAGCACCACAACGGGUGGAGCUUGCGGUUUAAUUGGAUUCAACGCCGGAAAUCUUACCGGGACCGACAGCAAUAUGAAGGCCAGGCUGAAGACUUUGCCGGAUUAGCUGAGAGGUGGUGCAUGGCCGUCGUCAGUUCGUACUGUGAAGCAUCCUGUUAAGUCAGGCAACGAGCGAGACCCA
rnacentral:rRNA from 1 species